rnacentral:rRNA from 1 species
CGCAAGCCUGACGGAGCAAGACCGCGUGCGGGAUGACGGCCUAAUGGUUGUAAACCGCUUUUCUCUGGGAAGAUGAUGACGGUACCAGAGGAAUCAGCCUCGGCUAACUCCGUGCCAGCAGCCGCGGUAAUACGGAGGAGGCAAGCGUUAUCCGGAAUUAUUGGGCGUAAAGCGUCCGUAGGUGGUUAUUCAAGUCUGCUGUCAAAGCGUGUGGCUUAACUCCAUAGAGGCAGUGGAAACUGGAUGACUUGAGUGCGGUAGGGGUCGAGGGAAUUCCCAGUGUAGCGGUGAAAUGCGUAGAUAUUGGGAAGAACACCAGUGGCGAAAGCGCUCGACUGGGCCUGCACUGACACUGAGGGACGAAAGCUAGGGGAGCG